CAUCGACUGGAACAGGAGACACAGUGGCAUCAGCAGCGGUGGUUUGGUAGCGGCGCCGCACUGAGGAGGCCGCCCACAGAGACACGCCCCGCUCCGGCUGCAGGAGGCUACUUCACCCUGGGCGAGGGAGACAGACCGGAGAUCUCUGGCUGAGAAGUUCCACCUACCAGCAUGUGCACAGAUCUACAUCAGGGGGUGCUAUUUUCCAGACGGCCCCUCCAGUGAUUGCUGUUGCAGUACUGAACAUGGACAGCGGUGGUUUGUGUUUGAGGAAGGCGGGGUGAGGCUGUGUGUCGUGGGGAGAAAACCACUAUCGCUCCCAUCAUGCCUUGUUGCCGAAAGGAGACACUCUUUACACUCGGUGUGAGGGUAAGCAAUUAUUCCCCCUCUCUUUUAUCCCCCUGAGAUGGAGAGCACCAGCCACUGGUGAACAAAGCUGCUUUUGUACCAUACUAUGAGGACAGAGAAAAUCAGCAUAGAGCUCCCAACUCGUUCUCCGGUGUCUGUAUGUGUGUCCAUGUAUGCUCUUACACUGUAAGUCCUCUAAUUCUACUCCUGGCAAAGGGAGUUUUAGCGUUACAUCCUUUGGGUUGCAUCGUUUUAUUAGUCCUCAGGCAACUUCAAUAUUUAAAGUCUCUCUCUAGUUAUUGAUGAAACCUUUAAAACCUCACAUCCACAUUUGAAAAUUACAGAUUUAGAAGUUUAAAUAAGCUUUUAAAUUGCUCUACGCAGUCCCCACUCAUUGCAGCUCAAGCACACCUUUGGCUCAAACCCUGUAAAACUACCCAAUGCUACAAAAUAGUGAGAUGUAAUUUUGGGCUAAUUCAACCUUACAUGCUCCAUCUAGAAAUCAUUUCUGAAGAAGAGUAAAGAUACAGAGCCCCAUAGGGUGAAACGAGUGGUAUCAUACGUUUAAUUUAAACCUCAGAGUCUAAAUCAAUAUUUGCUCUCGUGGACUUUAAAUUGGAAAUGCUAAGUCAUGAUGUCUACUGCCUAUUUUGCUAAUGAUGCAUGCUCUAGCAUAUAAAAACAAACACCAUAGGGACAUAAUAAUAGGGUGAAAACUUGAUUUUCAACAAGGAAGGUUAUCAAGAUACUAUGAAGUGUUGAUUUUUAAAGAUAUAUUUUGUUAACACGAGGGCUGCUCUCAGGAAUUUUGCCACUUUGGUCAAAUCUGCUUGCUUAGCUUUACCAAAUUAGUUUUGAAAAUCUGUAGCUAGGAUUUUGAGGUUAUUUGUUUCUGUUUACCAAAAACUUGGUACUACACUACCUCAACACUCUCAUUAAAUUGGUUUUUAUUUUUCCCUCUAACUCAAAUAUGGAGCAAAUAAGCAAACUUCCCAAAAUGUGUCUAUUUCCCUCAAAGUUUUAGGAUUGGAAAACAUCGGUGGGUUUAGACUUAAUUGACUUGCUUGACUUUUUGGUAUUAUUGGCUAAAAUGCUGAUAAAUUGUUUUGCUUGUUGGACAUUUAAAUUCAAAUGUAAUUAUUUCACUUGUUCAGUUGUUGAUAAGAUGGUGGAAAUUUAGUUUUCAGACUACUACAGUACACACAAUAAUGUGUUCAUAUUACUAUAAACUUGCAGUAACACUUUGGAACAAAAGGGACAAGCUGCUAACAACCCAGUGACAUUUCAUCGCCUUUCAUGUUGAUAUUGUAAACCUGUUAGAAACUGUUUUGAUAUUCCACUCUCAAUAUUCCUUUUUUUAAGCUCUUUUUGGUCUCCCCGGGGAAAUUUCUGCCUCUUUUGAAGUUAAACAUGUAACUAUAUUUACCAUCUAGCUGCUGUGUGUGCCUGCGGUUCUUUUUUAAAAGGUAUUUUUGGGCAUUUUCACCGCUAUUGAACAGUGACAGUCAAGAGAGACGGAAAGCGUGGGCAAAGAGAGCAGGUGAAUGACAAGCAGUAAAGGGACCAGGCCAGCUGUCCACCGAACCGAGGAUUCAUUGCUCAGAGGCGUUUGCACCCAUGCAAUAUGCGCCCUAAUCACUCAGUCAUCAUGUCGCCUGUGUCUGUAGUUCGAACAUAUGUUAUAGUCACACUCUGUUCCCAGUUUUACUCUCAAUGCAAGCUCCCCUUCCAAUCAGUUGGAGUCGCUAGCAUUAGCAACAAGCACAUAAUCUUUCAACGAUGUUCGUUGGAUUGAAUAUGGGGGAGAAAGUGCAGUGAACAUGCAGCAAGGUAUAAUUUGCAACUGCUGGGCCACACUUCACCUUGAUUUCUGUGGGUUGAGUUUAGAUUUGUCAUUAGGCCUACAUUAGGGUGAGACUUAACCUCCUGCAUACACAGUGAACACAGGGCUCAGCAGAGAAUUGACAAAUGGGCCUUGAAAGUAUAGUGAGGCAAACUUCUAUUUGAGUGUGUGUGUGUGUGUGUGUGUGUGUGUGUGUGUGUGUGUGUGUGUGUGUGUGUGUGUGUGUGUGUGUGUGUGUGUGUGUGUGUGUGUGUGUGUGUGUGUGUGUGUGGCUUCAAAGAGAAACUCAGAUGGCCUCCUUUAUCCCUGAUUGCAAGUCAUUCCUUCAAUCUCUCGCUCAAUCUUCCUCUCCCUCUCUUUCUCUCUUCCCUUCUCCGGGCCAUCUCUCACUUAAUCUCCCAUUCUUUCGCACUCCACCUUCAAUUCAGUUUAAUUUGCUUGGCUGGCAUGGGAAGUAUGCAUUUAUGUCAGCCAGGCAUCCGCAGGGGUAACUGAUGGCGCAAUAACCAUAGGGAAACAAUGCUCUCAAACAGGAGGGAGUAGGUAUCGCUAUUGAACCAUUAAAUAAGGGAACGCUCAAUGCUCCGUGUGACUUUCUAGGAGGGAAAUGACUGUCUUUUUCCUCCAAAUGACUCCACUAUCUGCUGCAGGACUGGCCUGUUUGAAAGUGCAGAAUGAUGAAGUAACUUCUAAUUUGUGCUGUUUUGCCAUUGUACCAUAUGAAAACCCAUUUAUGAUGGAGGAUGAGCGUGACAGUGUGUGGAUAUACUAUACGCAUGACUGCAACUGAUGUAUUGAGGAUGGCUCCAUUUUGACUCAGGAAAGGGAAGCAUGGACGCACAUCGGAUGUGUUUGCCAAAAGUGCUGGUCAAAAAAAUAACAAAACAAAAACAAAGAAGAAUGAGAAAUAAAAGUGGGGUUCUAUGUGCAAGUCUUUCUUAUGCAACCAGUGGGACACAAUAGGAGUGAGGACACCCUUGGGCGUGUAACUCAAAUGUCAAA